UAACAUUAGCAAAUUCAGUUGAUUGAGAACGUGUGAACCUGACGAGGGAAAAAGAAAGAAAACCAUCAAAUAUGGGAAGUAAAAAUCUGCAGCAGUUUAAUAAGAAGCCUAAUCCAAGGAUGUCAAACACGCAGCCCGUGGCCCGGAACCAGCCCACCAAUCGGUCCAAUCUCGCCCAGUUGAUGUCUUUAGAAAAUACCUAAUUCAUGACCUGUCAUACGACAAAGUAAGAAGGGGUCGCCACAGCGGAUCAUCUGGUUCUAUCUCACUGUAUCCCCAACAUCCUCUCCAGUCACGCCAACCCUCUGCGACUCCUUGUUCACUACAUCCAUGAAUCUUUUUCGAGGUCAUCCUCGUUUUCUCCUACCUGGUAGCUCCAUCUUCAACAUCCUUUGUCCAUGUCCAAACAUCCCUGGAGUCUUUCUCCAACUUAUCCCUCGACCUAAACUGACCCUCCGAUGUACUCAUUUCUAAUCCAGUCGAUUCUGUUCAAUCCCAGGGGAAAUCUUAGCAUCUGCAACUCUGAUGAAUGUUUUUUUUUCAAGAAAAUAUUAAUAUUUUGUUUGUUUGUUUUUAAUGUUCUAAAUAAUUGAAAAAGUAGGCCUGUGAAUAUAUGCAGCACUCUAAGAUGCACUGGAUUUUUUUGAGUUUGCAUUGAAAUAAGUUAUUUAAAUAUGUCAACAUGGUCCGCAGAAAGUGUUAUUGGAAUUUCACUAUUUCUGUUUUAUUUUUUUAGACAUAAAAUCAAGACCCGAGAUCAAGAUCAAGAAAAGAAUCAUUAAUAAAAGAUAAGGAAAGUAUCCCUUAAUUACAGCCUACCUACAGCCCUCCCUAUCAUCCUUUGUCAACUGAGAAAAGUUGACAAGAAAUGUCUACAGAGGUCUGCUUAAUGUCAUAAAGUCAGAACUCAGUGUAGCAAUGUUAUAUCUAAAAGUUUACUUUUUAAAAAAUUCAAGGCGUGAAUGUUUUCAUUGCAGAAGACAGUUUUAAUAUGUCACUUUUUGUUUACAGUGUUAAAGCAGUGUUCAAACUAACUUGUUUCCCAGCUGCUGUUGGCUGACCAGAAACAAAUGUCAAUAACAUUAAAGAAAGUGAUGAGUACAUCAAUUCAUUUCAUAGACCAUCAGAGAUAAAGGAAGUUGCUCAUACAUUGUUUAAAUGCGUGCGCAUUAAUCCAGCUAAAGAAAUCCCAGGAAGUUGUUCAGUGUGAAAAACAUUUCAUCACUCAUCCAGGUGACUUCUUCCAACCUCAUAAACAGUACAGCUGCAUUAAUGAUCAAAACCUGUCCCACCACAAGACACAUACACAGACUCUGAUGACCACUGAUCAGCGUCCAUGUGAACCCUUCACAGAGAGCCGGGGAAUGGCUCCCUGCAGGAAGGUUAAAAUGUGUACAUCCCCCUUUUUAUAGAAAUGGCCUCCUUGACUCCCCACUCCAAACACGGUGCUUGUUUUAACCGUUAUGCAACUGCACCGAGUCAACUUUCUGGAAUUAAUCAUACAUUCUUUAUUACUACAAUCUUUACAGCAUGCACUAUUUCUGCAGUAUGUUUGCUGUGUAUGAAGCCAUGGUGGUAACCCGAUCCUCCCUCUGCGUUUUAACCCAUAGCUCAGUUGGUCUCCCCCAGAGGUUAAAAAAAGAAAGACAGCUCUUUGUGGUGUGACAAACUGUAUUUGUAAAGAUCAAACACUGAUAAAAGUGUAAAACAGAAAAUCAAUCAAUCUUAAGAAUACACAAAAACAAAACAAUUGGUGUGUGAGGAAUGUAACGACGGUGCUUUCCAUGAAAAUGUUAACAAAGGAAAGACUAAAUGUAGCGGUAUGUCAGUCCAUAUCAGACAGAUUAUUAGGAACGGCACAGACAGAAUAAAAGUUUUAAAUAUGAAGCCACUGAAACUUGAAGUCAGUGCAAUACUUUCUAAAAUGUGCUGCCUAAACUGACUAUUUCCCUUUCAGCUAUCAAGGCAGAGGGCACGCAGUCAUUGCCAACCUUAACUA